rnacentral:rRNA from 1 species
UAAGAAGUCCCGCCUGCCCUGUGACUUGAACGUUUAACGGCCGCGGUACUCUGACCGUGCAAAGGUAGCGCAAUCACUUGUCCUUUAAAUGGGGACCUGUAUGAAUGGCAUAACGAGGGCUUGACUGUCUCCUUUUUCAAGUCAGUGAAAUUGAUCUUCCCGUGCAGAAGCGGGAAUAAAACUAUAAGACGAGAAGACCCUAUGGAGCUUUAGACACCAAAGCAGACCGUUUCACUAUUCCUAAACACAAGGCUUAAACCCAAGCGGCAAUCUGCCCUAAUGUCUUUGGUUGGGGCGACCGCGGGGUAACAAAAAACCCCCAUGUGGAAUGGGAUACUUUCCUUAAACUAAGAGCUACCGCUCUAAUCAACAGAAAUUCUGACCAAACUAGAUCCGGUUAUAACCGAUCAACGGACCGAGUUACCCUAGGGAUAACAGCGCAAUCCUCUUUCAGAGCCCAUAUCGACAAGAGGGUUUACGACCUCGAUGUUGGAUCAGGACAUCCUAAUGGUGCAGCCGCUAUUAAGGGUUCGUUUGUUCAACG